GGCAGGUCAGUAUGCCCCGAAACCCUCGGGCCACACGCGGGCUGCAAUGGUAAGGACAGCGAGUUCCGAUUCCGAAAGGAGGAGGCAAUCUCCCAAACCUUACCUCAGUUAUGAUUGAGGGCUGAAACUCGCCCUCAUGAAUAUGGAAUCCCUAGUAACCGCGUGUCACCAUCGCGCGGUGAAUACCGUCCCUGCUCCUU
rnacentral:rRNA from 1 species